rnacentral:rRNA from 1 species
UACGUAGGGUGCAAGCGUUAUCCGGAAUUAUUGGGCGUAAAGAGCUCGUAGGCGGUCUGUCGCGUCUGCUGUGAAAACUCAGGGCUUAACCCUGAGCUUGCAGUGGGUACGGGCAGACUAGAGUGCGGUAGGGGAGACUGGAAUUCCUGGUGUAGCGGUGAAAUGCGCAGAUAUCAGGAGGAACACCGAUGGCGAAGGCAGGUCUCUGGGCCACUACUGACGCUGAGAAGCGAAAGCAUGGGGAGCGAACAGG